AGUGAACGCUGGCGGUAGGCCUAACACAUGCCAGUCGAACGGCAGCACAGUAAGAGCUUGCUCUUACGGGUGGCGAGUGGCGGACGGGUGAGGAAUACAUCGGAAUCUACUUUUUCGUGGGGGAUAACGUAGGGAAACUUACGCUAAUACCGCAUACGACCUACGGGUGAAAGCAGGGGAUCUUCGGACCUUGCGCGAUUGAAUGAGCCGAUGUCGGAUUAGCUAGUUGGCGGGGUAAGGGCCCACCAAGGCGACGAUCCGUAGCUGGUCUGAGAGGAUGAUCAGCCACACUGGAACUGAGACACGGUCCAGACUCCUACGGGAGGCAGCAGUGGGGAAUAUUGGACAAUGGGCGCAAGCCUGAUCCAGCCAUACCGCGUGGGUGAAGAAGGCCUUCGGGUUGUAAAACCCUUUUGUUGGGAAAGAAAAGCAGCAGGUUAAUACCCCGCUGUUCUGACGGUACCCAAAGAAUAAGCACCGGCUAACUUCGUG
rnacentral:rRNA from 1 species